GAAAGAAAGUUACCAAGCAAGGUACGCUGCAAAAAUUCUAUUUUACCCAGUGCCAUGAAUCCUCCCAAGAUGGCGCCGAAAAUGAGCUGGUCCCGGAGCCUCUGCUUCCCCAGGCUGCACAUGCAGCUUCAGCGCUACACAGGUGCUCUAAUUCAGACCCAGCACUGCAUUUCAGGCACCUUCCGUCUGCCGCAAAAUCCCCUGCCUCUGCUCCACCGUUACCCGCAUCAUCACUGGGAUGCAAUCAGCAGAUACUCGGGGCUGAAAAUACAGCAUGGCCCCGCUUUAUGCCUGGGCCUCAGAGAUCACCACCGCUCAGCCCUCUGCAACAGGAGGUACACAGCUCUCCCCAGCCUACUCACCAUGCACUCCUGCCAUGGGGCGAUGAUUAACCCCCUGCAUACCAUGUGGAAGACCUUGGUAACACAGUCUUUGCAUAUCCACCCUUGAAAAAGGGAACGCUGCUCCCCAAAAUGCGUCUAGUCCAAGACUGCCUUUGCACAAGAAGUCAGGACUAUUUGGAUUAUUUGUCCACCACUUUUGGUCUUUUACUGCCCUCUCAGCUUCUCCCCAUGCCGUCCGGGUAGAGAGGGAUUCCACACCAAAGACCUCCAGCGCUGCCACACGCUACAGACGAACAUUACCUUUUCCAGCGGACUACGCAAUAACCAUCUGUACCGGACAUCUUCACCUCUCCUACACCUUCCCCGCGCUGCCGGGGCUGAGAGGCAUCAAUCCGGAUCACCGUUAAGUGCUGCUAUGUGCAUAUGACUGCUUUCGCCAGAGCCGUGAGCGGUCUGUGGCAAGGGCCCUGCCCCCGACCUCACAGUAUUAUUCAAUAAAUGCCAGCACGGCCAGCACACAGGAAAAACCCAUACAGGACACCAUAAAAUUAUCUUUAUGGACCUGAGGAAGGCGUGAGAACACGCCGAAACGCGUUGUCCAGUUGUUACUUUUAUUCAUAAUAAAAAAGUUCCUGUGUACCUUUGGCAUCUUCGCAUAAUUUUACCAUCACAGUAGCGCUCGGAGGUCAGAACCUCCGCAUAUUCUGCACUUACUCUACAAUAUUGUUUCACCAGGUUGUUAUUUUACUUCAGUUUAUUGUAUUACGAUAAUGUUUGCUCUCACACCACAUUUGUGAGCACAUGUGGCCCCGCUUUGUAUCUUGGACAUAUGGAAUUGACAUUGUCAUUAUUUCCUUGUUUUGUAAUGUUUUACUGUAUGAUUGUUGUACAAAAAAUUUUAUAAAAAAUAAAUAAAUCAAUUCUUCAAUAAAAAUGUA